rnacentral:rRNA from 1 species
CAGUGGCGGACGGGUGAGUAACACGUGGGAAUCUACUGAGUAGUGGGGGACAGCCCGGCGAAAGCCGGAUUAAUACCGCAUACGCCCUAGGGGGGAAAGGCGCAAGCCGCUAUUCAAUGAGCCCGCGUAAGAUUAGCUAGUUGGUAAGGUAAAGGCUUACCAAGGCGACGAUCUUUAGCUGGUCUGAGAGGAUGGCCAGCCACAUCGGGACUGAGACACGGCCCGGACUCCUACGGGAGGCAGCAGUCGGGAAUAUUGGACAAUGGGCGCAAGCCUGAUCCAGCAAUACCGCGUGUGUGAAGAAGGCCUGCGGGUUGUGAAGCACUUUCAGUUGGGAAGAUAAUGACGUUACCAACAGAAGAAGCACCGGCUAACUCCGUGCCAGCAGCCGCGGUAAUACGGAGGGUGCAAGCGUUAAUCGGAAUUACUGGGCGUAAAGCGUGCGUAGGCGGUUACUUAAGUCAGAUGUGAAAUCCCCGGGCUCAACCUGGGAACUGCAUCUGAUACUGGGUGACUAGAGUGUGGGAGAGGAGAGUGGAAUUUCCGGUGUAGCGGUGAAAUGCAUAGAGAUCGGAAGGAACAUCAGUGGCGAAGGCGACUCUCUGGACCAACACUGACGCUGAGGCACGAAAGCGUGGGUAGCAAACAGGAUUAGAUACCCUGGUAGUCCAUGCCGUAAACGAUGUCAACUAGCCGUCAG